rnacentral:lncRNA from 1 species
GACAUCCAGGCAGCCACACCAGUGCAACUGAAGACACUCAGGAAAGAGGACUUCCAGAGCUGCUUCAGAGUAUGGCAAGAACAAUGGGGGACCUUGCGCUUGCGAGGCAGGCACCUGAACCACUGAGCUAAAUCCCCGGCCCUUGGACCCCCCAAUUACGAAUCACCAGUACACAGCCAGGGUCCGGAGGAGAAGAAGAAGGAGGAGGAGGAAAAGGUGGAGACUGAAGAUUCCUGAGCUGCAGGGAAGCAGAAGAGGCUGGGCCAGGGUGGCAGUGAUGUCAGACCUCAGGGGGCCAUGAAAGUCAUCAGCUCCCCACUUGCAGAAGAGAGAGGGCAGAGACUUGCACAAGUCACCCACCAAGGGAUGUAGGACCAGGCUGGAGCCCCGGCUGCCUCCAAUCCUGUCUUGGGUUCUGUGGGGA